GGCCACGCAAGCGAGGAAGUCCAGUCAAUCGAAAUGAUAAGGAGAGAGAAAGGGGAAGAAAUCCCCAGCAACUCGAUCCCCAGUCCUCACAAGACUGAAACAGGCAGAGACUCCCACGGCUGGCUGGCCGGCCGGCCGCAUUACCGGCGGCGAGAAGAACUCCCGCCGCGCUCGUUCUCGGAGGAGGAGUCACCACGGGGGUGGGUUCCGAGCGCGACGCCGUUCGAGAGCCCGAGCGCCGCAGGGCUCCAUGAGCCGUCACCGGCCAUGGCCGUUGGACGACGGAACAGCAGACGCGGGUGGGCGCGCAGGGGCCGAGCGCUGGAAGCCAGGUCGACACCGCUGCGUAGCCGCGUCAUGGCGCACGCUAGCCAACGCGUCUGGGCUUCCUUGCCGUCGCUGCGCAUAGCUGCCCCAAGGGACAUGCCUGCGGGAAGUGCCGCCGCCGCGGCGAAGCGCGUCUCCACGCGCCGGAUGCCGGGAGCCGCGGGUGCGGGCGCCGCUUGUCUGUGAAGGGUGGCUGUCUCGGUCGCUUCUAGGCCGGGAGCCGACGAGGCCGGCGGCACGCUGAGCGGUGGCAGGCGUGGUCGCGUGCACCGCAUGCGUUGAAGCCUUGGUUGCCCAGGACCGUCCCGUUGUGCUAAUGCCAUAAAAAGCCUGGUUCCUCGUUUCGUCCCAGAUCGAGAGACUCGCCGCGCCUGCCUCGUGAACGCGUCGGGCUGGUGCGUGAGGUUGAGGCCACGCGGUCACGUACCGGCAGGAGACCUGCGCCGCCUUGCCGCUUUGCAGAGGCGUGGACUGCCACCGGUUCGGUGUUGCUCGCGGGCAAGCCCGUCGUGAGAUCGCUCCGCUGGAGAGCGACGGGGCUGGCCUUCUGGACGUCGCCGGCCUUGGUCUUCCGCGUCGCGCUGUGAGGCCGAUGGAAUGGCUCCGCCGGGAGCAAGCGAGAGACAAUCGAAUAAAUGAUAGAACUAUCAAUUCCAUUGAAUGAUUCUUGGUAUAUAUACAAGGGGCACAGACACGAUUGAGAAAUGCGACUGUUUGUAGAGGUGCAAAGGCCAAUGCAACCGGCAUACAGAUUACAAUAGGAGGAUUAUCCUUUUAAUUAACCUAUUAAUUUAAUCCUAAGAAUUAACAAACCAGCAUGUGCCUACACAGCUACACUAAUGCUAACACAUUGCUCUAUGUUUCAGAGCAUUUGGACCAUAUAUUAUGCUUGAAUUUGAACUUAGAUUUCAAAAUUGUGGGUUUAAAUGAUGUUUAUAUGUGCAGUAGAAACAUGUUGGUUUGAAUUGCUGUGAUGAGAAAUGGAAUUUGUCAUGGU
rnacentral:rRNA from 1 species